UACGUAGGUGGCAAGCGUUGUCCGGAUUUAUUGGGCGUAAAGCGAGCGCAGGCGGAAAGAUAAGUCUGAUGUGAAAGCCCCCGGCUUAACCGAGGAAUUGCAUCGGAAACUGUGUUUCUUGAGUGCAGGAGAGGAAAGUGGAAUUCCUAGUGUAGCGGUGAAAUGCGUAGAUAUUAGGAGGAACACCAGUGGCGAAGGCGACUUUCUGGACUGUAACUGACGUUGAGGCACGAAAGUGUGGGGAGCAAACAGG
rnacentral:rRNA from 1 species